rnacentral:tRNA from 1 species
GCCCCGAUAGCUCAGCUGGAUAGAGCGACUCCCUCCUAAGGAGUAGGCCGCAGGUUCGAGUCCUGCUCGGGGCG